AAAACAGGCCGAUAUUUUCAGGGUCAGUUGAGGAAGUUACUUUUUUUCCAUCUCUGUCCAUUUUCCAUUUUCUUCUUUGUUCCACAUCAGAGUCCUCACAUUAAAACAUUUGAGUAGCAGUCCUCAGCUUUCGUUGCUAUCCACCUCCCUGCACACCUGUCACUCAUUCCCACUAAUCAGCCACCUCCUAUAUACACCUGCCCUCACGCUCGUAUGUCCGAUUGUCGUUUGUGCCUGUGAGCUUGAAGCCUACCAUACACUAGAAAAAAAAGAGACUAAAGUCCGACAUGUUUACUCUUAUGUAAGCCAGCCGCCUGCUUUCUAAUCGUGCUAGAGCGAACAAGAUGAGAGAAAGACCAAUUUAAGACAUCUCAGAGUUUUACCUUACAUCAAACCAUCAAGAUGACGGGAGCGUGCCGCAACUAAAGCGAGACUGGAAAUUUGUCUGCAACUGUGAAAUCAUCCAAAAAGUAAUUUGGUGUGAGGACAGCAUUAGUGAACGAGCCUUUGUUUUGCCUCCUCAUCUCAACCUGUUCUUGGUUUUUGCUCAUCUGCCUGCCCGACUUCUUAUUGGACUUCUUUGCUGACAGCUGCUAACAUUUAGCACUUGUCAUUUCACUCCUCACCUCCCUCAGCCAUGUCUCAUUUUGCACCUUCCAACUUGGAUGUGAGAAGGAGAAGAAGAAGGAGGAGCGAGGAUGUGGGAAUAUCCUUUCUCAGUCCAGCAUUGUUUCUGGGAGACAGCAACUACUCAUGAAUCUGGAGGACGGGGGAGUGAGGACAGCAGGGAGCAUGAUUAGCAUAAUAGAGUAUCUGUUCCUGAAC